rnacentral:rRNA from 1 species
AAUUUUGGACACUGGGGGAAACCCUGAUCCAGCCAUCCCGCGUGUAUGAUGAAGGCCUUCGGGUUGUAAAGUACUUUUGGCAGGGAGGAAAAGAUACCUCCUAAUACGAGGUACUGCUGACGGUAUCUGCAGAAUAAGCACCGGCUAACUACGUGCCAGCAGCCGCUGUAAUACGUAGGGUGGAAGCGUUAAUCGGAAUUACUUGGCGUAAAGAGUGUGUAGGCGGUUCGGAAAGAAAGAUGGGAAAUACCAGGGCUCAACCUUGGAACUGCAUUUUUAACUGCCGAGCUAGAGUAUGUCAGAGGGGGGUAGAAGUCCACGUGUAGCAGUGAAAUGCGUAGAUAUGUGGAGGAAUACCGAUGGCGAAGGCAGCCCCCUGGGAUAAUACUGACGCUCAGACACGAAAGCGUGGGGAGCAAAC